GCCUGGCUGUUCUUGGUGGUGGUGGUGGUGGUCAUUCAGCUGCCCUCCCUAAGGAGCUGCAAGAAUGAACUGCAGGAGGUAUUUGCUGGGGAAAAGACAGUGGAGGAAGGAAGCUCAGCACCAUGCUGGAGGGACUGCAGGCUCAUGACUGCCUGGAAGAUUGGCAUCACAAGGUCCAUGUCUCUCCUGUGCUACGGGCUCCAGACCUGGAUGAGGAGUCCACCAUGAGUUACCUUCAGAAGAUGCAGCAGUUAUUCCACCAGCUAAAAGAAACCUCUGUCCUUCACUGAAGAGUUCCAAGAGCUCUCAUCAUAUUUGCUCUCAAUUUGUUCCAAGAUGAGAUCCUUAAAGCUUUCAGUGAAAAAUUGUGCUGGGAAUUGUCUUCAGUCCCAGGGGUCUGAUCUGCAGCCUACUGAAAUCAAUGAGCCGAUUCACAAUGCUUUCAGGGAGCACUGGGAAUGCUUUAGAAGGAUUUUGGGACACAUUCAAGCUGAAGAUAUUUCUUUACAAGGUUGCUAAUCCAUAAGAAAGCUGGGAAGGGACUUUCCACAAAGGCUCAUAGUGACAGGACAAGAAGGGAUGGAUUUCUGUCUACAGCUACCUGAAGGGACAUUGUGGAGAGGCUGCUGCUGAACUCACAGUGACAGAUUUCUGGGCUGAGGAACUUCCCUUCUGAAGAGAUGCAAUUCCUCCUGUCCCUACUGCAUGAGCAGAGCUGCAGGCACUGUAUUUAUUCAGCUUAGAGAUGAUUUGUCAGAUGUCCUUAAAUAAUACAUUCUAAUAGACUUAAACUGGGGGAGCAGUUUGUAAGUUAUGUGUAGGAGCUUCAUCACCAAAUCCUAUUUGUUUUGUGGAUUUCUCUUCUAAUUCCCAUGAAUCCUUUUGUAAAUGUCCUCUUCCUCACAGAAUAAUGCCAAAUACAUUUUCUGAUUGCUGAGUAUUGUUUCUCCUGGAAUAUGAUGGGUUCCUCUGAGGUAGGAUUUGUCAUGCUUUUACAUCUGCUCCU